rnacentral:lncRNA from 1 species
ACAAACGCAGUGUUGAUAUUUAGUUUGCUUGUUAGUGGUAAUCAAUAUGGAACUCAAAUUAUGGGUUCUAAUAGCGCUCUUGCCUAUGUUGGUUACAACAAUCAAUGCUCAACUUCUGCCAUGCAUAAGACUUCCCAUAUUUGGCACACCAAUAUUUUGCCCAUCUCCUCCACCACCACCUAGGUCUCCGCCACCACCAUCACCACCUCCACCUCCUCCAUCUCCACCACCACCGCCACCUCCUCCAUCUCCACCACCGCCUUCACCUCCACCUCCAUCCCCUCCUCCACCUCCACCAUCACCUCCACCACCUUCCCCUCCCCCGCCUUCACCUCCCCCACCCCCAACCCUUCCUCCUCCACCAACGUCACCACCUCCCCCUCCGCGUUCACUUGUUUGCACGAUAUUACCUCUCCCAUUACUUUGCCCAACCCCACCUGCACCACCUCCACCUCCGCGUACUCCACUUCUUUGCACAGUAUUACCUCGAGCAAUAUUUUGCCCAUCCCCACCACCACCUGUCUGAUUGAUCUCUAUGAUCAACCUCUAUCACACUAAAAAGUACUAUUGUUGCUUUCCAACCCCUCUUUCAACAAUAAUAAUUUUCUUAUGCACGUUAAAUAAUAAAUUUCCUUGGUAAUUAGUAAUCUUUCUUCGAUGGAAAAAUUACUAGCUAAUAAGUGUCCAACCAUCAAGAUCGACAUUCGUAGCAACAUUCUUCAAGAAAGUCAGUAUUCACACAUGGUAAUCGCAUCCGAACACCAGCAGACAUCCAAAUUAUGUUAUUGUAGAUAAUACUAUUUUUAUGGGAUGAACUAGUUAUUUUAGAGGAUGUUCUGUUUAUACAUGAUGAUGUUGUACUCGUACAUGUAAUAAAUAAAAAUUGUGUAUUGUCAUGGAAAUUUUGAUCAUUUUGUUUAUUUUCUCAAGUUAUAUAUGUCACGUAUGAUUUCAUGCUUACCUCUAUUUAUGUGAAUUAAAAUGUUUUCUACUUCAUGUUUCGUGCCUCAUAUUAUAUUAUAUGUAUCAAUAAUAAGGAAUAACCUUGGACAUAUAUAUGUUCAACAGCCGUGACAUAAAUAUUGGGCAAGAGUGGUUCCCUGAAAGUUUCAAUAGCUCAUAUUAUUGUGCAUAUCAAAUGUUACAAUGUGUUUAACUAUUGAAAAAAUAAAAUAUUCUUCUACCCAUAACCGAACACAAAAUUAAAAUUGUUCCUCAAUCACGUCUUUAAACAAAUCAUAAUCUCAACUUUUGGUCAAUUGAGAUAUGAUUUAUUCAAUUCAACGAAAAAAAGAAAGAGAUAUGAUUUAUUCUUCCAUAUUCAAGGGAUAUGAUUUAUCUAUUUAUCUGUAAUAAAUUAUGCCACUAGCCGAAUAAAAAUAAUAUACUUUUUUCCCCCAAAAUGUGUUGAACAUAUUUGCCACUAAUAAAAAAAAAUAGUCAUUUACUUCAUCCUUUUAAUGAGGUUAUUUUCAUAAAUACUUCAACUACUUUUGUUUUAAGUUUCGUUUUAAUUAUUAGAAGAAUAUUUUAAUUUUUGAAUGUGUAGUUUAUAACAAGUUAAAAAAAAAAAAAAAAAAAAACUUUAGAACAUAAGCAUAUGGAGUUUUUUUUUUUAAAUACUCCAUAUGUAAGUUAAAUAGAGAAAUUAUCUUCAUGAAAUAUGUAAGUAUAAUCAUAUUUGAUUUUGAACAAAGUUCGAAUCAUAUUGCCAAUAGCUGCUAGCAAUGGCGGAUCCACUCAUUCCCAAGGCUACUGUGCAAUUGCACAUCCUUGAUUACCCAAAAAAAAAGCAAAUUCUCUAUAUAUUUAUGAAGUAUAAAAUUAAAUGUAAAAAAACUUAAUACUGAAUUGUAGUUUGGGUGGUUAGAACUUUACAUCCAUUGUAUAGGUACAUGGCAAAACCCCAUUUUUUUACAAGUUCUUAAUUUUACCACAACUUUUCUAAAAUCUUCUUAUUUUCCUUUUCCAAAACUCUUCCGAAAUUUACAAAGUAUUUUGUUAACUUCGAAAUUUUUAGAUAUUUGUAAUAUUCUUAUGUGUAUAGUAUUAUAAAAAAAAAAUCCCUCAUUUCCAAGUAUCUAAUUUUUAUACAUUAUACAAAAUUAUUUUUUCUUGUCUAAACUUUUCCAGUAUUUUUUUUUCUCAAAAUCUUUCUUUUUUUUUUUCUCAAAAUCUUUUUUUUUUUUUCUUAAAUAUACCCCUCAUUUUCUAUAAUUCCUGCCAUUUGCAUAUGCACUUAGUUCAUUUUGUUUUUCUUGUACCCAAUUUGUUUAAUAUCUCAUAUUUCAUCUAACAUGUAAUUUUCUUCUUGUACUCAAUUUGUUUAAAUCUCAUUUUUCAUUCAAGUUUUUUUUUCAUUCCCCCUAAAUGAAUUGAUUUGAUAAUUUAUUUGGUUUAAAAAAACGGGUAUCUAGACUCAAAAGAAUUUUGUACUAAUAAUAUCUUCUUAUAUUUCAAAAUACCUACAAUGACAUUUAUUAUUAAAUAGUUCACUUCUUUAAUAAUAUUUUUUUUUAUUGAUGAUAAAAUCAGCAUGAUUAAUUCUUCUUUUGUUUUAAAUAAAUUCAAUAAUUCGUAAAAAAAUGCUUUAUAAAAAUAUUGAAGAAAUAAAUUAUGUUUUUUUGUGUUGAGAGAAAUGUAUUUUGAAAGAUAUAGUAUUGUUUGUGUUGAGAGAAAUGUAUUAUGUUUAUCACUGCAUUGGUCAAAUCAUGUCGAAAACAGAGAUAAAACAUUUUUUGAAAUUAUAUUUUCAAACUAUUUAGAAAGGAUGGGUUAAUAUAAUUCCUCUUAGUGAAAUUCGUAAUUAAUUUAAAAAUGUAAAACUAAAAUGAGCAAAUCAACUAUCUCGUUCCACUCUUGAAUUUACAUCAGUUUCAAAAACAUGAAUAUUUUCAUUCUAUAUUUUAGAUUUUCAUUUAAAUAAAAGGGUAAAUUACAAACACCCCUGAGGUAUGGUCAAAUUACAAAAACACCCCUCUUGUUUGGAUAAUUACAACCACCCCCUCAACUCCUCAAAUUUAGUGGAAUCUUCGAGAUUAUAUGGAAUAUUAUCACUUUUGUACCCGUUUUAUCCCAUUCAAACUCUACAUUAUGAAGCAAGAUGAUCAUAAUAUGUGAUUUUUAACUUGUAUAUAUCAGUUUGUGGUGCAUCGGAAACUGUAUUUUUACACAAAAUGAAUACAAACUAGAGCACAUUUCACGGAAUCUAGAUAAUUAUGUUGAAUUUGGCACCAUAAGGGUGGAUGUGUAAGAAAAAAUCAUAGUUGAGAGGGGUAGAUGUAAUUAUUCAAACAAAAGGGGGUUUUUUGUAAUUUGACCAUAUCUCAGGGGGUGUUUGUAAUUUACCCUAAAUAAAAUGAAUUUACGAUAUAUAAUGCAACAUUUUUUACAAAUUGGAAAAGUUCCGUUCUAUACUUUUUAUUUUCAUUUAGAUAUAAUAAAUUUACGAUUACGCAACAACUUGUAAUCUAUGACGGUGUAUCUAAUUCCACUUCACAACCCAUGCUACUAAUAAUCAAAUUUGUCAAUGAAAGAAUAAUUGAGAUUUUAAUAAAUUGGCCUAACUUUGAUUUAAAUGAACUAUAGCCAACCUAGUUCAGACAACAUGUACACAUUCGCACUUCGUAUUUCAAGGAUUGGCUCACAAAUUGAUGCCUAUAUAUAAGAACAUAACUCAGUCUCAAUUUUACGACAAACACAGCUUGGAUCUUUAGUUUACUUGUUAGUUGUAAUCAAUAUGGAACUCAAAUUAUGGGUUCUAAUAGUGUUCUUGUCUAUGUCGGUUACAACUAUCAAUGCUCAACUUCUGCCAUGCAUAAGACUUCCCAUACUUGGCAUACCAAUAUUUUGUCGUUCUCCUCCACCACCACCUAGGUCUCCGCCACCACCAUCACCAUCUCCACCUCCUCCAUCUCCGCCACCACCCCCAACCCUUCCUCCUCCGCCAACUUCACCACCUCCCCCUCCGCGUUCACUUAUUUGCUCGAUAUUACCUCUCCCAUUACUUUGCCCAACCCCACGGGCACCACCCUCCACCUCCGCGUAGUCCACUUCUUUGCACAGUAUUACCUCGCGCAAUAUUUUGCCCAUCCCCAACAUCACCUGUCUGAUUGAUCUAUAUGCUCAGUUUCUAUCACACUAAAAAGUGCCAUUGUUGCUUUCCAACCCUCUCUAUCUACAAUAAUUAUUUUCCUAUGCACGUUAAAUAAUAAAUUUCCUUAUUAAUUAGUAAUUUUUCUUCGAUGGAAAAAUUACUAGAUAAUAAGUGUCCAACCAUCAAGAUCAACAUUCGUAGCAACCUUCUUCGGGAAACUAAGUUUUCACCCAUGGAAUCGCGUCUCAACUCCAGAAGACAUCAAAAUUUGUAGUUGUAGACAAUGCUAUUUUUAUGGGAUGAAAUAGUUAAUUUUAGAGGAUGUUUGGAUUAUGUUGAUGUUGUUGUACUCGUAUAUGUAAUAAAUAAAAUUGUGCAUUGUCAUGAAAAAAUUGAUCAUCUUGUUCAUUUUCUCAAGUUAUAUGUGUUAUAUUGACAAUUUCAUGCUUACCUCUAUUUAUAUAAAUUAUGGCAAUAGUGUUUUUUUGAAAGUUUAAAUAGCUCAUAACUUUGCACAAUUUAGAACGAGGAAAACCUAUUUGUGGAUUAUUAAUGAGCAUAUAAAAUAUUAUAUCUUUUUAUCUAUAAAAUAAUUAAAUUAUUCUUCUACUGAUAACCAAACACAAAAUUAAAAUUAUUACACGAGCACGUCUUUACAUUCUUCACAAGUAUGUACACUAUGUUUUGAACAAAUGGUGUUUUGGACUUCUAAGUAAAAAAAAUUAAUAUUUACCUUCCCAAACUUGAUAUAAGUUCUCUCAGCAAUAAUAUAUAUUGUAAUUAUUAGAUUCCAUGUAAUUAUUAGGGUAAAUUACAACCAACCCCCUGAGGUGUGGUCAAAUUACGAAAACCCCCCUCUUGUUUGGAUAAUUACAACCACCCCCUCAACUCCUCAAAUUUAGUGGAAUCUUCGAGAUUAUAUGGAAUAUUAUCACUUUUGUACCCGUUUUAUCCCAUUCGAACUCUACAUUUUGAAGCAAGAUGAUCAUAAUAUGUGUUUUUUGGCUUGUAAAUAUCAGAUUGUGGUGCAUCAGAAACUAUAUUUUCACACAAAACGAGUACAAACUAGAGCACAUUCCACGAAAUCUAGAUGAUUAUGUUGAAUUUGACACCAUAAGGGUGGAUGUGUAAGAAAAAAAUCAUAGUUGAGGGGGUAGAUGUAAUUAUGCAAACAAGAGGGGUUUUUUUGUAAAUUGACCAUACGUCAGGGGGGUGUUUGUAAUUUACCCUAAUUAUAAUAAGGUGGUCAGUAAUUGAUAAUUAGCGUACAAUGAAUGUAAAGAUAUCACGUUCAUAAUAAAUAAGUUAAAACUUAAAAAUGAAGGUGAUGUUUGGAAAAGCUUAUUUAAAAGCAUAAGUUAGUAAUUGCUUAAGUUGAUAUUAAGUGCUUAAUUUUUAAAGUUGGGGUGUUUGUAAAAAAUCUGGAAAUUAACUAAAAUAGAAAAAGUAGGUACAUGGGUGCUGUUAAAAUUAUCGCUUAAAGCAGCUUAUUUUAAAAGAAGCAAAAGCAAAAGUCAAUUUUACAAACACUUAAAAACAAAUUAUAUGAGAAAAAAAGCUCGUAAUCUAUUAUUAAAAACUUUUGCAAGCACCACUGAAGUAUCUUUUAAAAUAAGUUCGUUAAAAGGAUAAACUAAAUGACCAAUUUUUUUUCCUUAGUGGCAAAAAUAUAUGUUAUGUUUGGGGGCAAACAAAAAGGAUAAAUAAGGAAAUCACAUCCCCUAAAUAUGUAUGUUAUGUUUGGGGGCAAAGAAAGCACAUAUUGGAGAUACUCCAUUGUGCUCUUUCUUUUUUAAAAACUAAAUCCAUUAUAUUAUCUCUCUUAGAUAUACCUACAGUUGGAAACUGCUACGAAAUUUUCGAUUUCCGUUGAUUCCGAUUUGAUUUUGGAGCACAAAAUUUUGUUAUGUUUUUUCUAGAUAUAUACGGAUCGGAGUCAGAAUUAUGUAUGAAAUGUUCGGAAAUUCCGAUUGAUCACUAUAGUGGUCAAAUCAUGUCGAAAACAGAGAAACCAAGUGAUAAAAUUAUUUUUCCAAAAUAUUUACAAGUCAAAUUUCAAAAGCUUAAAAAUAAGGACAUUUAUAUUUGUGUAGAAGACAUUCAAAAUUUAGGCCGAACUUUGUUCAUAAAACAUUCGAGUUGUAAUAAGUAUGAACAAUUAAUUUGAAUGCAUGCAUGAACUUGAUAUAUAAUAUAGCUCUAGAUAUUUAUUGUUGGCAUAUUAAUUAUGUCAACGAAGUUUUAAAUGCCCAUGCCGCAAGCUCCUUAAUUUGACUCAAGAAUUUACUUAAUACAACUUACUCAUCUAGCGUCAUACCCCACACACAAGUUGUCAAAACCUUAAAUGAAAUAUUUAUGCUUGAAUACUUUAAAAAAUGGGUAAAUUCCACUUUCUCCCAACCUUAAAUGAAAUAUUUAAGCGUGAAUACUUCAAAAAAUCGGUAAAAUUUCAUUUUCUCUCUUGUACUUUGUCUCGAUAUCACUUUACCCUAUUCUACUCUCGAUUGCAUCGAUUUUCUCUCAUGUACUUAAAAAUUUGUCUCAAUGUGGCCCUGGCCAUUACUUUUCAGAUCUUUGUCCUUAACACCGUUUGAUAUCUAAUUCUGAAAAUUACAAAAAAAAAGUCACCCCUCCUAGUUAAAAUAAUUAUUAAAAAAAGGGUAAAUUACAAACACCCCCUGAGGUAUGGUCAAAUUACAAAAAUACCCCUCUUGUUUGGAUAAUUACAACCAUCCCCUUAACUCCUCAAAUUUAGUGGAAUCUUCGAGAUUAUAUGGAAUAUUAUCACUUUUGUACUCGUUUUAUCCCAUUCAAACUCUACAUUAUGAAGCAAGAUGAUCAUAAUAUGUGAUUUUUAGCUUGUAUAUAUCAGUUUGUGGUGCAUCGGAAACUGUAUUUUUACACAAAACGAGUACAAACUAGAGCAGAUUUCACAUAAUCUAGAUGAUUAUGUUGAAUUUGGCACCAUAAGGGUGGAGGUGUUAGAAAAAAUCAUAGUUGAGGGGUAGAUGUAAUUAACCACACAAGAUUAUUUUUUUUAAUAAUUAUUUAAAUUGGGAGAGGUGUUUGUAAUUUUAGAGCUUAGAUCAAACGGUGUUAAUAUCAAAUGUCUGACAAUUAACAGAAUUGACCACAUUGAGACAAAUUUUCAAGUACUAGGGGAUAAAUCAAUGUAAUCGAGAGUAGAAGGGAGGUAAAGUAAUACCAAGCCAAAGUAUAAUGGGGUGAGUGGAAUUUACCCUUAAAAAAUUACUAGUGUAAUCAAUUAUUCUAAUUUUUAAUAUAAUUACUUUAAGUGACACUCGUACUGAAUAUUAACAUUAAAUCAAAUAUAAUUCCUCUAAGUGAAACUCGUAACUAAUAUUAACAUUAAUGUAAAACUAAAAUGAUCGAAUCCAAUGUGUCAUUCCACUAUUGAAUUUAUUAUUGGUUUCACAAAUUGGAAAAUUUUCAUUCUAUAAUUUAGAUUUUCAUUUAGAUAAAAUAAAGGGCAAAUUACGGCCACCCCUGAGCUAUGGUUAAAUUACGAAAACCCUCAUCCUGUUUGGGUAAUUACAGCCACCCCCCUCAACUAUGUAUUUAUCUUACGAAAAGACCCCUCCAGAGGUAAAUUUAGGGAUGUUAAUUCGGUAAAACCGGACCAAAAUUUCGGUACGCCAACAUUUCAUACCGUUUAGCGAACAAAAUAUACGAUUUGGUUGGGUAAAUAACCUAAUUACAUAAAUUUUACGUAAAAAUAUUUAAAAGGAGGGGAUUGCUGUAAUUAUCCAAACAAGAGGGAUUUUUUCGUAAUUUGACCAUACAUCAGGGGUGGCUGUAAUUUGCCCUAAAAUAAAUUUACGGUGAUGCAACAACUUGUAAUCUAUAACAGCGUACCCAAUUCUACUUCACCACACUUGCUUCUAAUAUUCCAAUUUGUCAAUGAAAGAAAUAAUUGAGUUUAUAAUAAAGUGGCCUAACUUUGAUUAAUGAACUAUAACAAACCUAUAUCAAACAAAAAAAUAUGCACAAUCACACUUAAUAUUUCAAGGAUUGCUCACAAAUUGAUGCCUAUAUAUAUGAAUAAAAUUGUCUCUUUUCUAUAACAAACUCAUCUUGUAUAUUUAAUUUGCUUGUUAGCGGUAAUCAAUAUGGAACUCAAAUUAUGGAUUCUAAUUGCUCUGUUGCCGAUGUUGGCUCCAACCAUCAGUGCUCAAAUUCGGCUAUGUGUACCGCUACCUGGCUCACCGUUUCCUUUACCAAUAUUUUGUUCUCCUCCACCACCAGCACCACUUAGGUCUCCGCCACCACCAUCACCACCUCCACCUCCUCGAUCUCCACCACCACCUCCGCCACGUCUUUGCUCAAUACUGCCUCUCCCAAUAAUUUGCCGAUCCCCACCACCACCAGCAACUUCACCAACUUCACCCCCACGUCCACGUCUUUGCACAAUAUUACCUAUCCCAAUAUUGUGUCUAUCCCCACCACCACCACCCGUUGCCUGAUUGAACUAUAUAAUAAACCUCUGUCACCCUAAAAAGUGUCAUUGCUGCUUUUCAACCUUCUCUUUCUAUAAUAAUUAUUUUCCUUUACACGUUAAUUAAUAAAUUUCCUUGUCAAGUAGUAACCUUUCUUCGAUAGAAAAUUUACUAGCUUACAAGCGUCCGAAAAUCAAGAUCAACAUGCCUAGCAACCUUCUUAAAGAAACUAAGUUUUUACACAUGGAAAUCACAUCUUUUAACUCCAUAUUAACAUCAAAAUUUGUAGUUGUAGACAAUGUUAUUUCUAUUGGAUGAACUAGUUAAUUUUAGAGGAUGUUUUGAUUAUCUUGAUGUAGUUGUGCUCGUUAUAUGCAAUAUAAAUAAAAUUGUGCGUUUGUCACGGAAUAUUUGAUCAUCUUGAUUACUUCUUAAUUUAUUAUAUGUUGUGUUGUGGAUAAUUUUACCACAUAUUGCACGUGUUAAUAACAAUAUUAGACAUAUAUAUGUUCAACACAUGUGACAUAAUUGUUG